rnacentral:rRNA from 1 species
AACGAACGCUGGCGGCGUGGAUAAGACAUGCAAGUCGAGCGGGAACUUUCGCUGUAGCAAUACAGUGAAAGUUCUAGCGGCGAACGGGUGCGUAACACGUGGACAAUCUGCCUUAAAGUGGGGGAUAGCUCGGCGAAAGCCGAAUUAAUACCGCAUGUGAUGAGAGACGACAUCGUCUUGAAAUCAAAGCCGGGGGCGAACCCUGGCGCUUUUUGUAGGAGUCCGCGGCCUAUCAGCUAGUUGGUGAGGUAACGGCCCACCAAGGCUAUGACGGGUAGCUGGUCUGAGAGGACGACCAGUCACACUGGAACUGAGACACGGUCCA